rnacentral:lncRNA from 1 species
UUACUGCCCUCUUGCGUGCCCCGGCCACCCCCGGGCGGCUUGUAGCCGGUGCGCGGGGUGGCUGGGGCUACGUGCAGAGCUGUCGCGGAGCCGGAGCAGCAGCGGUGAAGGCCCUCGGCUCGGCCGAGACCGCCGUGCCCACUGCUCGCCUCGGUUGCCGCCGCUUUAGCCGCAGCCGCUGCUGCCGCCGCCGGGGGAGAGGCAGCCUAUUGUCUUUCUCCGCGGCGAAGGUGAGGAGCUGUCUCGGCUCGGCCCGCGGGGGAGCCCCGGGAGCCGCACGGAGAUGGAGGAGGACAUCUGGACAGUGAGCAGGAGGCGCCUCGGCCCAUGCCGAACAUCCCAGGGGACCUGGAGAGCCGGGAGGCCAUGGUGGCAUUUUUCAACUCCGCUGGAGCCAGUGCCCAGGAGGAACAAAGGGUGUGCUGCCAGCCCCUGGCUCACCCAGUGGCCUCGUCCCAGAAGAAGCCAGAGGUAGCGGCCCCAGCCCCAGAGAGUGGGGGUGAGUCUGUGUUUGGGGAGACCCACCGGGCCCUGCAGGGGGCCAUGGAGAAGCUGCAG